CUGACAUCGGCCGUCCGUGGAAUCAACGGAAGGAUUUUGAACGUUGGAGAAUGCGUAACGCUGAUUGGCUAUUGAGCUCCGGGGGUCGAUCGUAGAAGGGGACGCCGGGUCGCAACGAGCCUCACAGUUCGACUGUGCCACCACUUCGACUGUGAACGCGAUAGGAAUUGGAUCGUCUAUUCUACAAAGCUCCUUUAUCUUUUGCAACAAUUACAUUCGAAUGUCUUUUCAAGCGCUAACGACAUAAUCGACGUUUGGUAAUAUCCAUCAACAGAGGGGACAAUUCGGAUGCACAAUCUAUGCCUAUGACUGUGCAGUAGGGAGGGCAUACUCUUCUCCACCACUUGUCUGGCGCCACUAUUGUCUCCGAAGGCCAAGCUGUAAAUCUUCGUUGCUUAUACCGUUUUCUUGAAACGACGUUGCGACACAAUCUUCCAGUGUGAGUGGUAGCUUAUUCGAUUGCAACAGCCUAAUGUAACAACAUCCCUGUAAGUGAAAACUUAUAAGCGAC